UUUAUUUUCCCAAGUAUUGUUCUUUAUUAACUGGAACACAGAACAUUACUCAGUGACAUGUCAACUCCUGCAAUUUACUAUGUAGGAUAUGUUGUCUACAUCCACUUAGCUAAUUAAGACAGUCACAGCAGUGUAGAUUUCAGGGCAGAUCAAACAGUACUGUGUUGAUAUGGGAAACAGAGGAAGACUAGUCUCCACCAACUCUGUUAUAUCAUAAUCCCUGUUCCUUCAGUCUGAUUAAAACAUUUCAACAAGAGCCUGGGCUGCCUACCGUGGUAGCGCCGUAGAGAGGCUUGGUGUAGAAAUAUCACAGCUCCCUCAUUAGUGAGAGGGGAUUUCAUUUGGAAUAUCUCACCGAGCACUUUGAGAGAAGCGGCUGUAUUUACAUUUAAAAGAUCCAAAGUGGCCGUCUGAAGCUAGCUACCUCUUUCCUUAAUUGCUGGCUUCAGUUGUCCAUGAAUACAUCCACUUUAUUACUGGCUCUCAUUACUGGACGGCACCGAGGAAAGUCUCUUUCUCCUCUGUCUCCAUCUCCAUUUCUCCCCCCUCUCUCCCUCUCUCUCUGUCUUCCUCUCCAGCAGGGCAGGUCCACAUCAGAGUUCUCCCAGUGGCCAAAAGACACAAACAAUCGAGAGGGAUUAGACUGUAAUCCUGUUUUUACUUUCAUCUGCCACAUAUUCAAAGGAGAAGCUCUGUGAAGCAUGGAAUUCUUGAAGGAUGUGCUCCAUGGAAAAAUAAGGGGAAGCACUGUAAACAAUGCAACGGGAUGGGGAUUACAAGUUUUAAAUGACAAGAAGACAAUGAGCUUGACAACAGACGUAGACUUAGUCUAUACUGAAUAAAUCCUCGCUUGCUCGUGGAUUUACAGUGGAGGAUGGUGUAGAAAGUGAACAAUGUGAGGUCACUUUACCGAAGAUACACAUUAACCUUCUGAACCUCUUUCUUUAUUUACAGACAAGAUAAGUUUGGCCACUCAGAGAUGCCAUUUAAUAGCAUUUACAUGGUGCUCUACAUGCUCUAGGACCAAGCACCAAACCUGGGGCAGCAGGGCCUUCUCCAGAGACGCUCCAUCCCUCUGGAACAUUCGUGACUGCCCCAAUCUGUCUACGUUCAAGAGAGUGCGGCACAGGCUGCGUUGUCUAGCUGUCAACACUUUGCUCAGCCCAAAGCCCCAGGAUUACACAGGAGCUGAUGGCUGUCUGUCAGAAAGAGAGAAAACCUGAACGAAUCCAGCAGCCGGAGGAGGAAGAGAUUGUUGAGUACAUAUCGAAUUUCAGACUUUAACCACAGACCAGCAGGUAGAGUUAGCGUUUACUGUAUUUCCUUUGGACACAUUCAAGUUUUUCAGCUGUUUCAUUUCUUUUGUUUAUAAGGUGGUCACUAACCACUGCUGUUGGUCACUCUCUCUCUAUGGGACAAUUUCCUCACUAAAGCCCAGGUCCCCAGGAGACCAUGAAAACCACCUUCAUGUACAGGGUCCAGGUUACCUGCAAACCAUCAUCUCUGCAUCUUCUUAAAGCGUUCCACACAACUUCCUUUGAUUCCAAACCAUUUGCAUCAUCAAGCUUACACUCUCAAACCUAGAGGGAGGUGUGCUCUGGUGCACGAGACUGAUAUGAUGAUAUGAUAGACAUUCAAAAUUGUAAAAUGUAUAAUAACGUGAAUAGCUUCAGAAUGAUGGAUAUGGGGGCAGACAGUGUUCCAAAGACUGAUGUUUUGGCAACAACAUACCUUUUCCAUAGUUUAAAAGAGUUAAAGCAUUUCUCCAGAUGAAAUAAAGAAGUAUAUAUUAUAAGCCUCAAACCUAAAUGACCCUGUAUCACACACACAGAGCCCAACUUAUUAUACAUAUUACUGCACACUGUAUACAUGUGGUACUCACACUCAUACGCGCACAUUAUCACACCUAUAUGUCAAUGUACAGACAGUCAUAUACAACACAUGUACAUGUCUGUUUUAUCUGUUCUGUAGUUUUAAUCCUGAUUCUGUUUCAUCAACUCAGUUGUUUGGCUGUUUGAACAUGAAUUUAAAAACCUAACCAGGAAUGAAGGCUGCAAAUAUAUCACAUCUGUUGCAUUGCUUAUCUGUAUGUAAUAAUGUUCAUCUGUAUGGUGAGCAAAUCAGAAACAUUCAUCGGCUCCCAGAGCAAUAUAGAUCCAACUUCUAAAUUUGACUAAUAGUCAUUAAAGCAUUAAAUGGUUUAUUACAGUCCAGCCGGAGCUCUCGGAUCAUCAGUUGGCAGUUUUCUAACUGGACCUAGAAUAAGAUCCACAUCAGUCCUGCUUGUUGACCUGACACCAGUUACAUAUGUUUUGUUUUUAACAGUAAGUUGAAAGAUUUUCAGUUUUCUCAGGUUUGUGAUCAGUUACUCUGUGUGUCUGUCUGUGAAUGUUUGGUUUGUGGUGGAUGAUGGGUUUGUCAGCACAUUUUAGUGUUUUUCUCCUAUUUUCUGUUUUUUCUCUUACUAAUUUUAUGAGAAGUAACAGG